GGAGCUGUGCUGCGAGGGCCCAAUCUUGAAGGAGUGGAGCCGCGGGCGCAGGACGGGCUUGCUCAGUGUUACAAUUGGAGGCCCCAGUGAGAUUGUCUCUCAGGGGCUCAGCCUUGCUCUGGAUCUUCUCAGCUUGAUGAAUUAUUACAGGGGUGGUGUCCCCUGAGACAUUCUAGGGCCCCAUAACUAUCAUCAGAGCUGGAGAGUCCCAGAAUGGCUGCUGCAUAACCCAUAAACCAAAACUGAUUGAGUCCUUCUCGUCCUCUUAGGAGCUCUGGGCUUCUGCUGUGAAGUACAUCCUGGCUGUGACACUAAAGGCACCACCUGCUGCUGAUCCCCUGCCUACUGCCACUCCUCACUGCUGUCAACUGGCUAAGGAUACAAAGGCUGUGUAGACCAGCACUUGAAGAGCUUCUUGAUUUGUAUCCAGGUCGAACAAAAGGACAAUAGUGAGGUGAUUGGGAACAACUGCACUUAUUUAUCGGUGCUUCCAUCAGAACAUCUGUGCCAUGGAAUAAAGAUGUGGAUCCCACAGGAUCAUGUGAACAUAUCAGUGGAGUCUUCGGAAUGUUUAGGAUUCUGUGACAUUUGAGGAUGUUGCUGUGAACUUCACCCAGGAAGAGUGGGCUUUGCUGGAUCCUUCUCAGAAGAAUCUCUUCAGAGAUGCGAUGCUGGAGACCUGCAGAAACCUCACUGCUAUAGAAGUUAUAUGUUAGAGACACCUUAUAAGAGUGAAGAAGGUGGUCAAGAAGAUGGAGAACCCUCAACUUGGAUACCGAAUCUCAAUAAGAGCAUGAACAUUUGGACUAAGACCACGUCAACUCAUUGUGUAUAAAAAGGCUUCCUAAUGCUAUUCAUCCUUUGAAAACCACACCACAUCUCACUCUCAGGAUCAGCCACAUGAGUAUGGGAAUGUGGAAACAGGUCACAGAACUCAGUCUCACAGGUUGUCAAAGAGAUGUGAAAACCCAUCUUGUGAAUGGAUCUUGUGGAUGUGAGGCAUGUUGUUUAAAAUUUUUUAGUUUUCCAAGUUCAUUUGGAAUACAUCAAGACAUUCCCAGUGCAGAGAAACCUUUUUAGUAUGAGGAAUUCAGAAAAGCCUUGGUUUAUAAACCAGUUCACUUCACACACUUGGAGGAACUCACGCCAUAGGAAAAUGUUAUGAAUGCAAUCAAUGUGGUAAACUUCCGAAUUCUUCCACUUCCUUUCAAAGACAUGAAAGAAUUCCUACUGGAGAAAAACCCUGUGAGCAUAAGCAGUGUGGUAAAGCCUUUCGAGCUCCUGGUGUCUUGCCAUUACACAAAAGAAUUCAUACUGGAGAGAAGCCCUACAAGUGUAAAGAAUGUGAAAAACUUUUAGACAGCACUAUUAUCUUCACUUACAUGAAAAAAUUCUUACUGGAGAAAAACCCUAUGAAUGCAAACAGUGCGGUGAAACUUUUAGAAAGCACAGUAAUCUUCAAAGACAUGAAAGAACUCUAGGAGAGAAACCCUACGAAUGUAAUUAAUAUGCUAAAGUCUUUACAUAUCACAAUUGUCUUCCAUUACAUGAAAGAAUUCAUACUGGAGGAAAACCCUGUCAUUGUAAACACAGUUGAAAAGCCUUUAGAUUUCAUGGUUCCUUGCGAUUACAUGAAAACUAUCAUAGUGGAUGAGAGCUCUAUGAAUAUAAACAAUGUGUUGAAGCUAUUGGAUGUUAGAGUUAUGGUCAGUUCCAUUCAGAAAUUCAUACUGGAGAAAAGCUCUAUGAAUGUGAGCAAUGUGGCGAAGCCUUUGGAUGUUACACUUCCUUGUAAUUACAUGAAAGAACUCAUACUGUGAAUGUAAACAAUGUGGUAAAACUGUUACACAUUGCUUAUUCUUCAGACUGACCAUAACUCCUGGAUGAAAAACCCACAAAUGUAAAAAAAAAAGUGUGGUAGAUUCUUUAUGUAGACCAGUUCCCUUCAGUACCUUCACAUUCAAUAAGACUCUUAUUAUUUAUUUUUAUUUUAUGUGUAUGAGUAUAUUGCCUGCACAUAUGUAA